AACCCAACAACCAUAGAGAGGAGCAGGAGGACUGAAGAGAGGAUUGGGAGGACCCGGGAGAGGAGUGGGAGGACCAGGGAGAGGAGUGGGAGGACCAGGGAGAGGAGUGGGAGGACCAGGGAGAGGAGUGGGAGGACCAGGGAGAGGAGUGGGAGGACCAGGGAGAGGAACCCAACAACCAUAGAGAGGAGGAGGAGGACUGAAGAGAGGAUUGGGAGGACCUGGGAGAGGAACCCAACAACCAUAGAGAGGAGCAGGAGGACUGAAGAGAGGAGCGGGAUGACCAGGGAGAGGAACCCAACAACCACAGAGAGGAGCAGGAGGACCAUAGAGAGGAGCGGGAGGACCGGGGAGACGAGUGGGAGAACCAUAGAAAGGAACCUAACAACCAUAGAGAAGAAUGGGAGAAUCACAGAGAGGAGCAAGAGGACCAGGGAGAGGAACCCAGCAACCGGAUAGAGAGGAAUGGGAGGACUGUAAAGAGGAACCCAACAACCAUAGACAGGAGCAGGAAAACCAGGGAGAGGAGCAGGAGGACUGGGGAGAGGAACCCAACAACCAUAGAGAGAAGCAGGAGGACCGGAGAGAGAUAAAUGGGACCUCCAACCAUAGAGGUGAACGCAACAACCAUAGAGUUGAACAGAACUACCAUAGAGAUGAAUGAGACCUCCAACCAUAGAGGUGAACACCACAACCAUAGAGUUGGACAGAACCACCACAGAGAUGAACACAACCAUAGAGUUGAAGAGAACAACCAUAGAGAUGAAUGAGAUCUCCAAGCAUAGAGAUGAACACAACCAUAGAGUUGAACAGAACUACCAUAGAGACGAAUGAGACCUCCAACCAUAGAGAUGAACGCAACAACCAUAGAGUUGGCGCGACAACACCGCGACGGGGUGAGGGGCCGCCGCGGUGACUGGAGGACCCACCUGAGCGGGGCUGUAGCCCUCGUAGAGAUGGAAGCGGCCCUGGAGGACUGCGCAGGGGACGGAGCCCAGGUAGCCCACGACCAGGCGGCCAGCGUGGCCCGACACUGCGGAGAGGGAUCAGCGCCCCACAGCUGCCCCACGGCUGCCCCACAAGUGACAGCCCGGACCCACAAGUGC
rnacentral:lncRNA from 1 species